rnacentral:tRNA from 1 species
GCGGAUAUGGCGGAAUUGGUAGACGCGUACGCUUGAGGGGCGUAUGGCUUAGGCUGUGGGGGUUCAAAUCCCCCUAUCCGCA